UAAGACAGAGGUUGCAAACGUUGUUCGGAAUUACUGGGCAUAAAGCGCACGUAGGUGGUCUGCUAAGUCGCGUGUGAAAUGUCCCGGCUCAACCGGGGAAUUGCGCGUGAUACUGGCAGGCUAGAGGUCGGGAGGGGUGAGCGGAACUCCUGGUGGAGCGGUGAAAUGCGUAGAUAUCAGGAGGAACACCGGUGGCGAAAGCGGCUCACUGGCCCGAAUCUGACACUGAGGUGCGAAAGCUAGGGUAGCAAACGGG
rnacentral:rRNA from 1 species